GACGAACGCUGGCGGCGUGCUUAACACAUGCAAGUCGAACGGAAAGGCCCUGCUUUUGUGGGGUGCUCGAGUGGCGAACGGGUGAGUAACACGUGAGUAACCUGCCCUUGACUUUGGGAUAACUUCAGGAAACUGGGGCUAAUACCGGAUAGGAGCUCCUGCUGCAUGGUGGGGGUUGGAAAGUUUCGGCGGUUGGGGAUGGACUCGCGGCUUAUCAGCUUGUUGGUGGGGUAGUGGCUUACCAAGGCUUUGACGGGUAGCCGGCCUGAGAGGGUGACCGGCCACAUUGGGAAUGAGAUACGGCCCAGAAACCUACGGGAGGCAGCAGUGGGGAAUAUUGCACAAUGGGCGGAAGCCUGAUGCAGCAGCGCCGCGUGCGGGAAGACGGCCUUCGGGUUGUAAACCGCUUUCGCCUGUGACGAAGCGUGAGUGACGGUAAUGGGUAAAGAAGCACCGGCUAACUACGU
rnacentral:rRNA from 1 species